rnacentral:rRNA from 1 species
NNNUUGUAAGGGCACCCACAAGAACGCGUGGAGCAUGUGGCUUAAUUUGACUCAACGCGGGAAAUCUUACCGGGUCCGGACACACUGAGGAKUGACAGGCAAKAKUAAUACUUUGNUUCGGCAUUGUAUUAUGUUAAAUAUGNUAGUCCUUUCAUGAUUAUGUGAUAGGUGGUGCAUGGCCGUUCUUAGUUCGUGGAGUGAUSUGUCUGCUUAAUUGCGUUUCACUAAGGGCCUAUAAAUUUACGUAUGUUGUAUCGCACUUUGACCCCUUUCUUUAAUUAGAAAGCGCGUGUCUUAGWUUCGCUUUGCUCAUACAAUUAGGUCCUGAAAGCAACGAACGUGACCGCAACCUCUUGUUGCCUUUAUACCAAACAUGUUUAUUCAUUUUUUAAUGUUCAUUCAUGAAAAAAGGCUUUUUAAACUAGAGGGACCGCUGUUACUUUCUUAACCAGAGGAAGGUUGCGGCAAAACAGGUCUGUGAUGCCCUUAGAUGUUCCGGGCUGCACACGUGCUACAAUGAUUAUUGCAGUGAGCAUCUCAUUUUUACACACCGCAUGCGCGAGUCCAUUUAUUCACCUUCGGGUGUUUUAAAUGUGUACCUCUGCGCGCGGUAAAGCCUGCUUCGAAAGUAAGUGGGUAAUCAAUUAGAAGUAAUGAUUUCCUUUUUUAGCACACAUAUAUACGGCGUCUAUGCCCGGGUUACCUUGUUGUAGCUUUGUGUGUAUAGA